rnacentral:lncRNA from 1 species
UUAUAUUAAAAACAACAUUCAUUUCAUAUGAUAAGCAGAACAAAUACAAUAAUUAAACAACAACGCAAACAACUACAACAAUAAAAUAACAUCACAAACAACUACAACAACUAAACAACAUAACUAUGCGAUUACAACCAUCAAAAUAAUUUUGUGAGAAGUAUACAUCAUCAUGUGAACGUCUCUGUCAGUUUUAACAUUCACCCAGAAACGAACUUCUCCAUUUUGGUUGAAUGUGGUAUCAAACCAUUGAAUUCUUC